rnacentral:lncRNA from 1 species
ACAAUCAAUGGCAUGAGAUGGUGCCGAAAAAACCAAUAAAAAUCAUGGAAAAGUUGGGGAAAUCAGAAAUCCAUUUUUUUUGAACAAAUUUUCAGCAAUAAUCAUUUGAAAUCAGAGCUUUAGGAGUUAAGAGGGAUUGGGAGGAAGAUGAUUCGAGAGAUCUUACAUUAUCUUCGAUAGUUUUGGCCAUGAUUUCAUCAGGCAUGGUGAAGAUAAUUCAAAACAACAAAAAGGGAUGGAGAGAGAAAGAUGGUGAGAGGAAGAGGGAUCUCGAUGGUUGGUGAU